GGGCAGUUUACGCGACCUGGAGGGCGUUUAAGUCUCUUCACACGCGAGAGGUCGUAGGUUCAAGUCCUAUACCGCCCACCA
rnacentral:tRNA from 1 species